rnacentral:tmRNA from 1 species
UCACUUCACAUUAAUCCAAUUGCGCCUAUAUGGGUCCUGCCGGUUUCGACCGGAUAUGGCGAUAAAUUGCGAUGUGCAAUAGACGCAGCGGACCCGGGGGCAGUACCCGGCGGCUCCACCAAAACCCCUGAUCCGUCAGGGACUUCUGACGGGGCCGAACUAGGAUCGACGUGUGUUCAAAAGCAUUGUUUUUGCCCGGGUUGAGAAUCCCCGUUAAAAGCUCACAACACAUAAGUGCAAACGAUAACGAAGCACUCGCAAUCGCUGCGUAAUCUGACGGCCUAACGGCCUGAUCUUACAAAGCUAAAGCGCGGUUGGACCGACCGGGCAACAGAACGGAUACC